rnacentral:rRNA from 1 species
ACGAACGCUUGCCGCCUGCCUCACACAUGCCAGUCGAACGCGACCUUCGGGUCUAGUGGCGCACGGGUGCGUAACGCGUGGGAACCUGCCCUUAGGUUCGGAAUAACUCCCCGAAAGGGGUGCUAAUACCGGAUAAUGUCUUCGGACCAAAGAUUUAUCGCCUUUGGAUGGGCCCGCGUUGGAUUAGCUAGUUGGUAGGGUAAAAGCCUACCAAGGCGACGAUCCAUAGCUGGUCUGAGAGGAUGGUCAGCCACACUGGGACUGAGACACGGCCCAGACCUCUGCGGGGGGGGGCAAGGGGGAAUAUUGGACAAGGGGCGAACGCCGAAUCCAUCAAUGCCGCGGUAGUGAUGAAGGCGUUAGGGUUGAAAAACAUUUUUACCCGGGAUGAAAAGAACCUACCCGGAGGAAAAGGCCCGGGCUAACUCCGG